rnacentral:rRNA from 1 species
AUUGAACGCUGGCGGCAUGCCUUACACAUGCAAGUCGAACGGCAGCACGGGAGCAAUCCUGGUGGCGAGUGGCGAACGGGUGAGUAAUACAUCGGAACGUGCCCAGUAGUGGGGGAUCGCCCGGCGAAAGCGGGAUUAAUACCGCAUACGACCUGAGGGUGAAAGCGGGGGAUCGCAAGACCUCGCGCUAUUGGAGCGGCCGAUGUCAGAUUAGCUAGUUGGUGGGGUAAAGGCCUACCAAGGCAACGAUCUGUAGUUGGUCUGAGAGGACGACCAGCCACACUGGGACUGAGACACGGCCCAGACUCCUACGGGAGGCAGCAGUGGGGAAUUUUGGACAAUGGGGGCAACCCUGAUCCAGCAAUGCCGCGUGCAGGAAGAAGGCCUUCGGGUUGUAAACUGCUUUUGUCAGGGAAGAAAUCCUCUGGGUUAAUACCUCGGGGGGAUGACGGUACCUGGAGAAUAAGCACCGGCUAACUACGUGCCAGCAGCCGCCGUAA